UGCAGUCGAACGAGAAGUCCCGACUUGUCGGGAUGGAAAGUGGCGCACGGGUGAGUAACGCGUAGGCAACCUGCCCUCGAGUGGGGAAUAACCAUCGGAAACGAUGGCUAAUACCGCAUGAAGUCCCGAACUGCAUGGUUCGGGAUGAAAACUCUGGUGCUCGAGGAUGGGCCUGCGUCGGAUUAGCUAGUAGGUAGGAUAACAGCCUACCUAGGCGACGAUCCGUAGCUGGUCUGAGAGGACGAUCAGCCACACUGGCACUGAGACACGGGCCAGACUCCUACGGGAGGCAGCAGUGGGGAAUCUUGGGCAAUGGGCGCAAGCCUGACCCAGCCACGCCGCGUGGAGGAAGACACCCCUAUGGGGCGUAAACUCCUUUUAUAUGGGAAAGAAAACCUUCCUCAGGAAGGCCUGACGGUACCAUAUGAAUAAGCACCGGCUAACUCCGUGCCAGCAGCCGCGGUAAUACGGAGGGUGCAAGCGUUGUCCGGAUUCACUGGGUGUAAAGGGUGUGCAGGCGGGGCGGUAAGUCAGAAGUGAAAGCCCCCGGCUCACCGUGGAAUGGCUUUUGAUACUGCUGCUCUUGAGUCUCGGAG
rnacentral:rRNA from 1 species